CUCAGUUCGGAGUUGCAGGCUGCAACUCGCCUGCAUGAAGCUGGAAUUGCUAGUAAUCGCGGAUCAGCAAGCCGCGGUGAAUACGUUCCCGGGCCUUGUACACACCGCCCGUCACACCAUGAGAGUUGGGAAUACCCGAAGCCUGUGAGCUAACUUUUAGAGGCAGCAGUCGAAGGUAGAAUCAAUGAUUGGGGUGAAGUCGUAACAAGGUAGC
rnacentral:rRNA from 1 species